CGUUUUGGGGAAAAAGAUAUAAUAGUAUUGGAAUAAAAUAAAAAAUAUUACGGGAAUGAAGUCAUAAUAUUACAAAAGAAAAUCCACAAAGAUUACUUAAGCAGAAAGUUUAAAUAUUUCGGGUUUUUUAAUUUUUUUUAAAAACAACAGAAUGCAAAAUGGGGGGAAAAAGAGCAAAGACCAAAGUUUCUUUUUCAACAAUAUCACAAAGCUGAAAUGCAGUUUUUUUGUUUUUUUUAUUGUUCUGUGUGCGUUAUACGAGCAAAAAUAUGUCAUGUGUUUCUUGACUGGAUGCAUGAGUAGUAUAUGUGCAGUUGAAAAAUAAGCCACGGUAUUUUUUUUGAGCAACAAUUAAGGCCAGAUUCAAUAUUUCAUAAUAAAAAAUAAAAUUGAAAAUAAUUUAAUAAAAAAAGUUAUGAAAUAAAUCGGUUAAUUAAAAAAAUUACAUAAUUAUGAUAAUUCAUGAAAUACGUCAAGCCUAGUAGCCUCGUGGUUAGCAAGUCAGCCGCACGCUCAGGAGAUUCGGGUUCGUAUCGCCGUUGGAACAUCUCAAUCUGGAGUUUGCAUGUUCUCCCCCUGCGAGCGUGGGUUUUCUCCGGUUACUCCGGCUUCCUCCCACAUUCCAAAAAUAUGCAUGUUAGUUAAUUGGAGGCUCUAAAUUGUCCACAGGUGUAAAUGUGAGUGUGAAUGGUUGUUUGUCUACAGCAGGGGUCACCAACGUUUUUCCUCGUGAGAGCUACUUUUACAAAAUGAAAAUGGCCAAGAGCUACUCAUUCUUGUAACAUUUCUUUUCAGAGCUUAUUUUAAACCCAAACAAAGCGAAUAUGCUUGUUUUACCAGAAGAUUAACAAAAUGCUGGUGUCCACAACUCACACUUUGUAUUUCAGAAUGCAUUUCUUUCUGCUGUUCUUUCAUUAUUAACUGAAAACCUGAAUGAAAAGCAGGCUUGCGGGCACCUCAUGUGGUCGUGGGGGGCUACCUGGUGACCCCUGGUCUAUAGGGUAUGUGCCCUGCGAUUGGCUGGUGACCAGUCCAGGGUGUACCCCGCCUCUCAAUGUCAGGUGGGAUAAGCUACAGCAUAGAAAAUGGAUGAAUUGAUGUUUUAUUGUGUCCUUACAGACAUUGGUUUAUGUUUUUGUGUGCAGGAAUAGGGGGUAUAUGGCUUCAGAUCAAAUGUUUUAAUGGAAAGUUAAACAUUUUGUGAAGUUAAACACAGUCAGACUCUCAUCAAGGCACAUUGUAAGGUUGGAUGACUUUGGUGUGGCAGAACUUGCACAGAACCCUCAUGUCAAACCCAUCAAAUACUUUUUAGGGAUCGUGAGCCAGCAGUCUCAUUGACUUCUGACCACACAAAUGUUCUUCUGGAUCAACUGAAUGGAUACAAAUUCCCGCACAGAAACACUCAAAAUUCUUGUAAAGUCCUUCCAGAAGAGUGGAAAAGGAGUUUCUACUCCAUAUUUUUCUUUGAUUUCUAAACGUGACGUCAUGACGAAGCGUCCCAGUAUUUAUUUAAACAUACAACUGUUUGUAUUAUGGAUACAUGACGCCCUCUAGUGGCUGAAUAAGCCAUUACAAGUAGGAAAACAAUGGAAAAAAAGACAAUCCAAUCCAGUACCAACUGUACUACCGGAACAAUAUGUACAAAGCACGCGAUAAGAACAGAUGUAUAGACUUCAGCACAGAAAAGACUUCACAGUCAUAAAAUCUAUUAUACUGAUUCAAACUUGAUGCAGUCUGUCAACAAAUCAAGUUAUAUAUACAUUUUUGCUCAUGUGUAAUACCUCAGGAAAGAAAAUAUAUUUUGACACCAUUAAUAUAUAAUGAAUAAUGUCUUAAAAUAAUAACAUGACAAUCGAAAUGAUUAUACAUAUAUAAUUAUAAAUUAUAGUACAAAUCCAUGAUUCAAAUGUAAGUGUCUCUGUUGGCACUGUAUGUACAAGCAAAUCCUCAAAAAUGGGAUGUGGAUGUGGUGUGACCACUUAAAGAGCAGCUCCAAUGAUAACGUGCGGAGGCUCUGCGUGUCUUUGCGUCUGGAUCGGUUCUUCAGUGGUCACGUUCGCUCCACAUCCAUCAGGACCUUUAGGCACACAAGGUGGGCAGAAUGGUACAUAAUGGAUCCAUGACAAAGACGAAAAGUAAGAACUGAGUCCAAAAGGAAGAUCAUAGACUUCUCCACUCUCCAGUGUGUUGCUGGCGCUGUCCUCGUGGGCUUUGUUCCAGGCCAGGAUGCCUCGUUCCUGCUUUGUUCCUGUAAGAUAGAUAUACGCGCGUCAAAUGCGAGAAACCAUCAGUCUUGCCUGAAGCAGCAGAAGAAAUAAUUUGUUUGUUUGCUGCAGGGCUCCCCAUGCAGUUUAUGCAUCAAAAUAAUCAAUAAAAGCUGAAUCGAGGCAGUUGGAUUCUUCUUGUUAAUUGAAGAUGUUUCACCUCCAGUGUGGAGUCUCUAGAUUGAUUGUUUCUAGAUUGAUGUAAAUGGCAUAUUUCACACCUGUUACGAACCUUUGGUCUUCCCUACAUAGAAUUUGGAUAUUUGAUGACCUCAAAAGGAACGACCCUUUGUUUUGAGAUGCAAACUCCAAACUGAACAUGAACUGCUGACUAUGGACUCGAAGAAACUGCUCUCCUAUGUUGUGCCAUGUUUUUAUAUAAGGGCUGCUUGGUCUCUCCAAUGUAGGGGUCAUGCAUAAACAAUCUAGCAGAGUUUGCUUCCUGGGUUGUUGCCUUUGGGGUGUACAUUAGCUUUUGUCUACCCCAAAGAUUGUCUCAUUCCACCGGAAGAGCGGCGAGUAAUGAGCUGUUUUGCCACCAGACAGGCGAACAACUGUUAUGUAGGAUGGUCUUUUAUCUAUAAAGAACAGGGUGCCUUUUGUUUGUUAUCGCUUUGUAUGUAUUGUAUUGUAUUGUAUGUACUUUAUUUGUCAUGUACAAGUGCAAAUAUGCAGCAUGACUUAUCCAAAACAGAGCGGAACAUAUUCCAAUCCUAACAGCACCUCGCCUUCUUGUCUGUGCUGUUCGCUUGCUACACCGCCAUGUUUAUGGGUGACUUCGUCAAACCUGAGCAGGAGGGGAAGGACAUCAAGUGGAGAAUUAACGUGCCUUCCGUCCGACACACAGCUGCAGAUAUCCGCUGGAGAAGAGCGCGCCAUAAAGAGAGAGACAGCGUCUCGCCGCUGUUGCUCACGUUGUGUUGCAAACGGCCCCUUUUCAAGUUUGAGUUUUUUUAAAUUCCACAAUGUUUUAUCAUUCAGAUUUUGUUUAACUUUUUCCGCAUUGAAAAAACUAGAUGCAGACUUCUAGAAAACUAAAAGUAAACUUAUUAAAUACUGACACACACAUUGAGAAAUAAUAAAUAUUUCACACAAAAAUCAUUCUUGCUGACACCAAUAUUGUCACGUUACGCAGGACAGGAGUCAGUACUUGUCAGUACCUGUCCUGCGCCAUUAUUUUGGCGAGCGGUGCUUCUGGCGUGGUGGAUGGGACAGCCGCUCCACGCCUGGUGGCCGCAGCUGCGGCCAAUCCUCAUUAGCGGCAGUUAAAAGACCAGCGCGGCGCAUUCGAUGGCGCUGGUUCAUUGCCAUUGUCAUUGCAUUUCAUAUGUGUCGCCUCCAAGUCAGUGCUGUCACCUGAACGAUCACUUACCUGGGUUCUACCGGUUGUAUUUACUUUCCACAGAGCUUUUUUCUCUGUCGCCUUUUGUUCAUUACCUUUUUGCACUAUUAAAAGAACCUUUAUUUUUUCCAAGCCAUUGCCUCUUCUCUGCAUACUGGGGGUCAAGCUACCAACAGCGUCAGCUGCAUCGUGACAAAUAUUGUGCAACUUAGUAAUAUACUGUAUAUACGCCAACACAAUCAGUGAAUGAUAUUUUAUUUUCCAUCAAUCAGCAAAGCAGAUUACAUCAAACAAUGCAUAUUUAAUACAAAUAUGUGCCGUACAUAAUGUGCUAAUAAAGAGUAUUACCUGGAAUUGUGUUGUCUAAUACGAAGCCAAAGAAGCCUCCAACAAACAUACUGGUUGUAAAAAGAACCUGCAGCAACUGGUCUACCUCUGCCACACCUGCACACAAUGACACCAAGACAACAAAACUGCUCAAGUAAUCAACAGUCAUCAUUUGUAACUUGCUUUCAAACAUGGUCAUAAGUAUACCUGUAGAAAUAACUGUCGGGUUCUUUACUAUCCAGUUAGGUAUGACCAGACCCGAGAACAUGGAGAAACCAAAAACGAAGAUGUUGCGAGAUGAAUUUAAAUCUGCAUACUAAAAGUAAAAAAACAUCAAAAUCCAGACAGAACAAAAUAGUACAGGCAAAAGUUUCCAUACACCUUUUAUUAUAUGUUUGACUGGGUUUGUUUGCCUACAGAAGCAGGAGCUUUGACACUCAUCCGGCCUCAAAACUUGCAGCGACGUGAACACGUGCUAAUGUAUGUUCGGAAGUUGGUAUUGGAAUUACAACAAGCAAGCAGUGUGGAUUACGUAGACACGGCUUGAAGAAACGCCUUCUCUAGCCUGCUAGCUCACCUGACAACCAGGCUAAAGACUACACCUUGUCUCCGAUUCCAUCUGUUCAUUGAUCAUCUGACAUUAUCAUUCAUUAGUGGUGAUUACCUAUACAUUUUAUACUUGAAAUGCAUUUAAUAAGUGUGUGAGACAUAUUUAGGGCUUAAGCCUGGUUUGUGAGUAAACAAUGGUAAUUGAAGGGAGAUAGGGAAGGUUCUGCGAUUGAAAAGCAGUCGUAACAGACCGACAUCAACAUUACUCGCAGUAUCUUGUAAUGGCAUAUCACAUGCUUUUAGUAUAAAUGCGGUGGAGUGCUCACCUGGAGAGUUGAAAUUCCUGCUGCAGAAAUGACCCCGAACAUAACCAUGAACAUCCCCCCAAUGACGGGGGAUGGGAUGGUGGAAAAUAUGGCUCCCACUUUGCCGAACACACCCAUGACUAUCAAGAAGACGCCCCCAGCGACAAUCACCAUGCGACUUCCAACCUGCAGCAAUGAAGGAAAGAAAUUUUGUGGCCCCUCAUUCAAUCGGAGGUUGGCCAAAGCACAGGUUUCUCAAUAAUGCCUUCCUUAGAUUACCUUUGUGAUGCCAAGGGCUCCUAUAUUCUCACUGUAUGAGGUGGUACCAUUUCCUGUCCCCCAUGCUCCAGCCAGCAAACACCCCAGCCCCUCAAUUCCAAUCCCCCUGUUGAUGGCAUGUUUAGGCGGAGGCGGAGCCCCUGACAGCCUGGCGCACGCAUGGUAGUCCCCAACAGACUCUAUCAUGGAGGAAAUCACACCUGCCAAAAUGCCAACCACCCCUGCCAGGCUCACAGUGGGCAACCCCCAUUGGCCUAAGUGAACAGAAAGGGUCUUGGUAUGCAUAACAUGGAAUCAUUAGCCUGUUUUGAAUGUAUUAACAUCUUUUUACCAGGAUAGGGGAACAAGAUCCAGGGGGCUUUACCCACUACAUCUCCCUUUAUGUCAGUACGAGCCAAGUAACCAUACUGGCCUGGAUCAGAGGGAAGGGCAUUAAAGGUAGUUAAAAUGUAGCAGAGCAGCCAGGACAAGGCGAUUCCAAGCAGGACCUAAAGGGAUGAACAAAACAUCAGUGUUACUUUUAAGAGGCCCAGAGAGCAAAUGUGCUUUCAUGUAUUUUUUUUAUGCUUUUUCAACAUACAGGGAGAAUCUGGAAGACGUAAACACGGCAGGAGUGUAAUUUUUUAUCCUUGCUGUAUGUUGGGAAAGGUAUGGGAAUAUGGCGAAGGUACUGUGAGAAAACGAUGAUCAGUAUAGUGGUCCUAAAAGACAGAAGUAGAAAAUUCACAAUAUAGUUGAUCAGAUGACACGUUUGCAAAAUAUAAAGCUAAUUAUGGUUCUUGGAAGCUUUUAACAGGAUGUGCUGCUGUUCUUGUGAGGGUAUUGCAGCUUUACAACAUACAAGACUGUAGUUCAAGGAACAUUUGAAACAUGUAGUAGAUUUAUAAUAUUAUAUAUGGACACUCCUGAUCAAAUUUUUAAGAAAAAGUUUUACGAACAAAUUCUUCAGAACCACAAAAUUGCCCGUUUCGAAUUUGCACGACAACACCAAGCAUGGGAGAUUGAAAGGUGGCUGAACUUUUAUUCUCUGAUGAGAGCAAAUAUAACCUUGGCGGUCCUGAUGGCCUCCAAUGUUACUGGCCUGACAAGGAGAUCCCACCUGAGAUGUUUUCCACACGGCACAGUGGAGGGGACGCCACCAUGAUGUGGGGUGCUUUUUCCUUAAAUGGAACAAUGGAGCUAGAGGUUGUUCAGGGGCGUCAAAUGGCGGUGUGGAGAUCUUGCAGGGGGCAUCCUUCAUGACUGAAGGACCUCAUCUGUGUGAUAAUGACUGGGCGUUUCAACAGGACGACGCUGCAGUUCACAAUGCCUGCCUGACACAAAGACUUCUUCCAAAGGAAUAACCUCACGGUUUUGGACCAUCUUGUGUGUACCCCUGAUCCAAUUGAGAAAAUGUGGGGAUGGAUGGCAAGGGAAGUUUACAAAACUGGACAAAUCAGUGGCUGCCCACAGUGAAACCAUCACCACCUGGAGCAACAUUCCCACCAGCCUCUUGGAAACGCUGUCAUCCAGCAUGCCCAAACCAAUUUUUGAGGUGAUGAACAAGAAUGGUGCAGCUACACAUUACUCCUUUUUUGAACAUUUGAUUUCUAUUUUAGGGUGAUUUCUGGGUUAGGGAGGUGUUUGCAUGGUAAAUUCUUGCAAUUUUUUAAAUGGUCUUAAAAUUUUCAUCAGGAGUGUAUUUAGUGCUUGUUUCUAGGUUUGUUGACAUUUCCACCCAGUUCCACCACUUAGAGCCAUGUUAUCAGUGCAAUCUAAAAUUAAUCACGAUUUAGAGAUAAACAAAACCAAGCAAGAUGAUAUCAAGUGCAAAAGUCCAUAAAAGACUUAUACUUACAAGGCAGAAAUGCCCCAGUGGUUUCCAGCACUUGUGCCAGCAGAGUCAAAAAGGGACAGUCCAAUGAGAGAGAUGGUGGGUGCGAUGGUGAGAGGUCCAAUGAAGCGCAUGAAGAUGCCAAUCAGACCAGAAAAUCCAACAACCACCUGGAAGAGCGAGCCCACCAUAAUGGACCCCUGGAGCUGGAGAAAAACAUGAUGGAUGCACACAUUUAUAUCCUACCAUCGCCCCAUUGCUUAAAUAAAAAGAAAAACAAAUACCGUAAUUUCCAGUGUAUAAGACACACCGUUUUUUAAGCCACACCCACCAAAUUUAGAGAGAAAACAUGAUUUGUACAUAUACUGUAUAAGCCGCACCGGACUAUAAGCCGCAAAUGUCCAUGUCAUAAAAUGGCAUAUUGUGGCACGUACGGGUCUGUGAGGACCAGGCAGCUCUAUAUUUGACAGGAGCCAAUCAUGAGCAGUGAGAAAACUCACAACGAGCUUAUCAACCCAUCGGAAAUCACAGGACAUCAUGACUCAAUAUAACAGUCUGACUCAUAGUGUCAUCUUAGAUAGAAGGCAAAAAUCAUCACACAGCAACUUAACCCUCAAGACAAGUUUAAUAUUAAAAAAAAAAACAGCCAUCUUAACUUCUUCCCAUUAUGCAUUAUUCCCAGCAGAGCAGAUUGGCUUACGGUUGCCAUGGGUGCCCGGCAGCCAUGGCAGCUCAGCUCCAGAGGGAGCUCAUGAGCACUAUUUCUUGACUUCUGAUUUCAGUGUAAGUAUGCAAGUAAAUAAUGAAAUACAUAAUAAUAUCAAGAGGUGAUUAUACUGUACAUUUAUGUGGUUUUACAGUUACAGGCAGCCUUUUGAGGGCAACCAUAACUGCAAUGUCGCCCACGGUGAAAACAACUUUGACACCUCUGAACUACAGUAUACACGCUGAUUUGUGGUGAUUUGAAAGCCGUAUUGUCCCCAGUUUACUUACCGCUCUCAUCCUGCUCUGCCACACCUCUAUGAAUUCACUAGAGGACGUGUUGACGAGUGUUGCGUUCUGUGUCCAGGCGGGACAUGUCCACUCUGGCAUGGACAGCAUCGCCAUGGACGGCGCCAGCAAUGUGAAUGUCCCACCUUGAAGAAUUGGUAGGCUGGAAACCGACAAGAGAAAACAGGAAGGGGAGUAGGGAGGAAAUAAUGUUAGCUAACAUGAUUCAUGUCCCAUCAGGGUGAUGGGACAUAUCAGUGUACAUACAGCUUACCAUGGUGCAAGAUGGUGGCACCCUGUUCCACAAUCAAGCUUCCACAGUCAGGCAAGCACUGAGGCUUAUGUAGAUGCGGCUUGGAGAAACACCUGAGAAGCAGGGGAGCAGCGUUCUCCAGCCUGUGGGAGAGGGAGGCGGCGCUACAACAGAGGGAAGUGCGGUGGUAGCGCUAGUCUGAUAACCAGGCUAAAAGCCAGACCGUGUUCAUCUUUCAUUAUCAUUCAUUAGUGGUGAGUACCUGUGCAUUUUAUACUUUAAAAUGUGUUUAAUAAGUUUGAGGCAUAUUUAGGGCUUAAACCUGGAGUGUGUCACGAGUGAACAAUGGCAAUUGAAGAGAGAACCGGAAGGUUCUGGCGCUGAAUCUAAGUUAUUUACAACAGUCACUUCUAUUGCAAAUGUUGAUCUGAAAUUGGAUGAGAAUGUCUAUGACAAGCUAGCAAAAGGGUUACUUGUGUUACUUGUGUUUUUUCACCAUUUGUGAGGGUCUCGUAGCGUAAACAAGUAGCGGGGAUUUACUGUACAGCUGUAUGGUUCGCAUUGCACAGAGAAUGUAGACCAAUGGUGUCCAAGUUUUUUUAUUAUUCCAAGGCACAUAACCUGAUGUUGUAAUAUUAUCAGAAAAAAUAGCAUCAUAUAGUAUAAAGUUGAAUUAUAAAAGAAAGAUGUUAUUUUUUUAAAAUUGUAAUAUCAUGAAAAACAAACAAAACAACUCAUAGUUUUUGGAAAAUUGGGUUGUGAAAAAUUUAUAAUGUUACAAGAAUAAAGUCAAAAUGUUAUGGGAAUAAAGUUGUAAUGACGAGAACAAAAUUUACAAGACGAAAGUUAAAAGGAAGAACGAAGAACAACACCAGAAAUGAAAUAAACAGCUGUGGUUUUACAAGAAUAAAGAUGGAAAAGGCCGUAUUCUAAUGAGAAAAAAAGUUAUAAAGCCCUAAUAUUACCAGGAAAAAGAAUGUCAUUUUACUAGCAUAGAGCGGAAACAUUGAAGAAAAAAAUAUGUUUAAAAAAAUAUGAAACAAACUAAAGGUAUGAUUUUUUUUUUAAUUAGGUUGGGAAAAAAUGUUAGAAUAUUAUGGGAGUAUGGGAGUAAUGUCAAAAUAUUAUGAGAGGAAAAUUUACAAAGAAAGUUGAAAUAUUUGAAAAAAUUAAAACGCAAUAGCAAAAAUGGGGGAAAGACAGCAAAGACCAAAUAAAAUGCAUUUUCACCCAUAUCACAAGGCUGAGAUGCGUUUUCGCCUUGAAAUCUAAAUAAAUUCUUAACAUUCUACACGUGUUGGUUUAGAAAACAUCAAAGCGGCCUUUGCGUCCUUUCAUAUUUCAGUAUGUGGCCCUCACUGGAACAAGUUUGGACACCCCUGAUGUAGACUUAGAAUUAUCUUGACCAUGUUAUGGACAUGGCUUUCAAAACACGUGCAAGGUGACACUUCGUCAUACCCAUAAUAGGCCAGUCAGAUCAACAAGUAGGCAUGCACCGCCUCCGAAGGGUCAUAGACGACCACAAUUGACAGUAUCCUAUCAGGGAUGCAUCAACUCUUCAUGAUACUCUGUAUGUACAGGCACCAAUAUAACGCUCUUCUCAAUUUACAGUGUACAGUUUCUUAUGAAGAAAUAUUUAAGAAAAGAUGUCUAAUUUGAAGAAAUAGAUACAAUAUUUCAUAUAGGCUGAGCUCUUGAGCAAUGCUCCAUUUCCAACGACAAUCCGUAAACUCCAGGUGGCAACUCUCUAACGGAGUUCAAAUGCUCUCCCAUCAUAAUCAUCAUUUGAAUUAUCAUAGCAACAGUUGUGUCCAAAUCAUACUGAGUCAUCACAUAUUUCAAUAAAAACUGUUGGGAGAGUAACUUGCUUUCGUUCCCAAAAAUAACACAAUAAAAUGUGUGCUGUUUUAGUUUCUACCAGCUUGUGCUGUGAAACAUUUUUCAUAGCUGAGUUCCCAGGAAUUUGGGGGAAGACAAGAAAGCAUCAGUGGCCCUGAGCCAAUGGAAUGUGGAUUUAGCAAGAACAAGAUUCCAUAGAUAAUAAGUUGGAAGGGCUUUCUCCUAAUCCCGCUCUGACACCAAUAUUCAGCAUGACUGAGAAUGCACAAGCACAAAUUCAAAUUUACUAAACCUGCUUGGAAUUCAUGGCUUUCCAAAACAAAAGCAGUCACUUCAAAAACAAUCACCGCAUUGCAGUUAGACUGCUUGAAUUAUGCCAUCAUCCCGCCGACAGGCCUUUCUAAUAUUUUAUACCUCUCAUAACUAAAUGAGGUGAUGAAAUAUUGAUAUAUACAAAAAAUCAGACUUUAUUUUUGUAUUUAUUUAUAACAAAACAUUUUACAAUUUUUGUUAAAUUUAUUUUUCUUUAUUUUAGUAAUAUUAGUACAUUAAUCUAGUAAUAUAAUGUAAUAUAAAUAACAUUAGUAAUAAUAUAAUGUAAUAUAACAUUAAUAAAAAUAUAGUAUUCAGUGUUCCGUCGUUUAUCGCGGGGGAAAAGUUUCCAAAAUAGCCGGCAAUAAGUGAAAUCCACGAAGUAGCCAAUUAUAUUUUUUUAUAAUUAUUAUAUAUGUUUUAAGGGUGCAAAACCCCUCACCGUACACUUUAGACACUUUUCCCAGACAGGCAUUAAUAUUUUCUCACAUUUCUCUCUUGUUUAAACACUCUCAAAGUUAAAAUUUUAUUUGAAUUUUAAUGAUCAACCUCCUAGGUUGGACACAAGAAAUUAUUAAGUGACUCACGCGUAUUUCACUCUGACGGUGCCUCGUCGUAAUGGCGCCGUUCGGCUGUAGUGUUUUUGUAUCCUUGUUAAAACAUAUUUCUCCUGUUAUCAUAUUUUCCUCACACGGUUAGCUUCUUCUGUUUCUUCUAUUGUUUACUGUAUUGGCAGUUCGCAAGCAGCUCACACAGUUAGCUAGUUUGCUAGCCAUGACCACAAUAAGAGACUGCACCAACGACAUGGUGAAACGGUCUACAGCCAAUCAGGAAGCAGAAGACAAAGUGCUGUGCAGACAGAAGAGAGAGAAUAGAGAGACACCGCCUACACUACAACUACAACACUCAACUUCCCACAAUGCAAUUGUCAUGUGCUGCUUUGCUGUCCUCUGCUUGUAAGCAGCGCUUUCUGUAUCGUUCUUGUCUUGUUUUCUUGAGUUGUCUUGCAGUUUUGAGUUGUACUUUUUGUAUUUUGUAUGAACUGUUCCUUAAUACAUUUUUGUUACACGGACUUCUGCUCUCUGCAUCUUGGGGUUCUACUUUGUGACAGCAAUUGUUCUUAAAGGGCCAGGCUCGGCCUGUAACAGCGUUCAUAUGCUGUGUGUAUAUAUAUAAACAAAAAAAAGCACUCAAAUUGCACCAAAAAAAAAUUAGCGAAACAGCAAGUCCACGAAAGGUGAACCGCAAGGGAGCGAGGGAACACUUUAAUAUGUAAUAAUAAAGUAUCUAGGCAGAAAAUACUUUUUUUUUGGCACACAUUGUGUUUUUCAUGAAAUUUAUAAACAUUUUUAAAUCUGUAGUAUUACAAGGUUUGAUUUUGUUCUUGUAAUAAUGUGACUUUAUUCCUAUAAUAUUGCAACUAUUCUGAUGGAACAUGUACGAGUUUUACAUGAUACAUUUUUAAAUGAAUUUAUAACUUGUGAGAAAAAAACUUCUCAAAAUAUUGCAUUUUUUCCUUAUAAUAUUGCAACAUUAUUCUUGUAAGACUUUGACUUUUUCCAGUGUUUCCAUAGUGUUUAUAUAGAAAUAUUAAUAUCCAAUUUUUUGUAGUUGACAUUCCUCCUCUUAAAAUUGUGCUCUGAAAUAGUUUUUCACAUGUACAAUUGAGUGUAUUUAUGUUUAAAAAGAUGUCAUACAUGUAUUUUUAAAGCUAUUUUUAUAUAAAAAUGAAUGUGUUUUAUAAAAGUGGGUCACGACCAGGAUGACACCAGUUGAGAACCCCUGCUUUAGACGACACCUUCUGACUGUGUGUUUCUUUUUUUCAAAUGCAGUAUUUUUUAUACAGCUAUCGUACAUGCCUGCUGCACUGAAAACUGGUUUGGGGUUUCCAAUUGAGGAAGGAUAUUUUCAGCAAGUUGCCCAAAAACAGUUUUUCUACUUCAUCCACUGCAUUGCAUUACUUCUCCUACAAUAAGAAUCUUACUAAAGUUUUCAGAGGCUCAAUCGCAAGCAGCAACACUGUUAAUCCCGCUUAACUGCUCUUUUUUUGUGGGCCGAACAGAGCUGCUGCAACAAGGGAAUUUGGGUAUGCAUAAUAGGAUGAUUGUGCCUUACUCAUGUGUUGCGUGUUUAUGUACACACAAGGCUAAACAAGUACUGGCAACAUCUCGUACUAUAAACAGGACAGCUGAAGUGCACAGUCACAACAACACUCAUCCAAAUUAACGAAAGUUAGCUUCAGUAUGACUUUAGCCGAUUCAUUUAUGUAAUUUUCCACUAGAUGGUGAUGUUUUCUUUUCUGUUUCCACCCCCCUUUUAAUUCUUUAAUAUUUUCUUUCACAUUUUUUGCCCUCUGAUCCAUAGUCUUGCCGAUCUGAUCCGGUACCGAAUUAUUUUUGUUUAAUUUUUUGUAAUGAUAAGCUUUUGUUACAAACAUGAAUUUGUGGAAUUUAAUAUGAUUAUGAAAAUACCUCUUCAAAGCAUUAAAAAUAAUUUGCGGAAAAUUGCGGAAUUUACUUUUUUGUUACACAGGAUGAACAACAAUAUUGUUGGGCUUUUGUAACAAACCUCUGUGCGUCAGAUCCCUAAUCCAAUAAUGAACAGCUCCAAAUCAACUGAAAAUUGGAAAUCAAGCUAAAAGGUAGCGCACAUGUCUGAAAAUGUAUUUGCCUAACGCUAGUCUCUUUAAUAGUAGCGGAACAUUUGAAUCACACUUUAACUGCGUUACUAUGAGCCAUGAAGGGUUGCAUUCAAAGACCCCACGUAACUUAAGUCAAAUUCACAAGUUUUGAGUGUAGAUGUAUUUUCUGGGAUUUCCAAGCAUAAAUUAAUGCAUCUACUUACUGUUUUUGUUGUCCUUCUGUUUAUUUAGAGCACACAUACACACAUAAUAAAAACAUUCUGAUUAUCGGAGUGUUAGUGAAUGCAUCUCGCUGUCGUCUGGUGACAAUGACUGACUAGAGACGUGUUUGUGAGUUGGAGAUACAUACUGGAUAUGGUGUUGGAAGUAAACUGGUAUUGAUGCAUUCAGGUCAGAUUAGAGUUAUUAAUGAGUGGAAGACGUGAUUGUGGUGCCACACAUGUUGUUAUU